AGUGAACGCUGUCGGUAGGCCUAACACAUGUAAGUCUAACGUCAUCACUGUAAGAGCUUGCUCUUCCGGGAGGCUAGUGGCGGACGGUUGAGGAAUACCUCGGUCUCUACUUUUUCUUGGGGUAUACCGUAGGGCAACUUACGUUAAUACCUCAUACUACCUACGGGUGAAAGCAGGGGAUCUUCGGACCUUGCGCGAUUGAAUGAGCCGAUGUCAGAUUAGCUAGUUUGCGGGGUAAAGGCCCACCAAGGCGACGAUCCGUAGCUGGUCUGAGAGGAUGAUCAGGCACACUGGAACUGAGACAAGGUCCAGACUCCUACGGGAGGCAGCAGUGGGGAAUAUUGGACAAUGGGCGCAAGCCUGAUCCAGCCAUACCGCAUGGGGGAAGAAGGCCUUCGGGUUGUAAAGCACUUUUGUUGGGAAAGAAAAGCAGCAGGUUAAUACCCCGCUGUUCUGACGGUACCCAAAGAAUAAGCACCGGAUAACUUCGUG
rnacentral:rRNA from 1 species